ACGAGCGCAACCCCUNUCCUUAGUUGCCAUCAGGUAAAGCUGGGAACUCUAAGGAGACUGCCCCGGAAAUCGGGGAGGAAGGUGGGGAUGACGUCAAGUCCUCAUGGCCUUUAUGUCCAGGGCUACACACGUGCUACAAUGGGCGGUACAACGAGUCGCGAAGCCGCGAGGCCGAGCCAAUCUCAAAAAGCCGUCCUCAGUUCGGAUUGGAGUCUGCAACUCGACUCCAUGAAGGUGGAAUCGCUAGUAAUCCCGGAUCAGCAUGCCGGGGUGAAUACGUUCCCGGGCCUUGCACACACCGCCCGU
rnacentral:rRNA from 1 species